rnacentral:tRNA from 1 species
UGGGGUUUGGCUUAAUGGUAGAGUACUCACCUAGCAAGUGCGAGGCACUAGGUUCGAUCCUCAGCACCACAC